rnacentral:rRNA from 1 species
UACGUAGGCAGCAAGCGUUGUUCGGAAUUACUGGGCGUAAAGGGCUCGUAGGUGGCCAACUAAGUCAGACGUGAAAUCCCUCGGCUUAACCGGGGAACUGCGUCUGAUACUGGAUGGCUUGAGUUUGGGAGAGGGAAGCGGAAUUCCGGGUGUAGCGGUGAAAUGCGUAGAAUAUCCGGAGGAACACCGGUGGCGAAGGCG